UAAAAAAAAAAGCUUUAAUAUUCUGAAAUAUACAAAGCAACAUUAUUCAUAAAAUAGUUAUUACAGGUAGCAUUGCUUCAUUAUGAAUUAAAAAAACAACAACAUGCAUACUUUGAUUGAUAAUCCAUGUUAUCAACUUGAAAUUACAAAUAUUUUUUCCAUGAACCAUUUAUUUAUAAACUUUGAAUUAAAAUAUUUUUAAGUUAUUGUAAUGUAUACCUGUCAAAUAUUGGUUUAUAAGUUUAAAAUGUUGUAUGAAUGUUAUACUUAUAAACUUGAAAAGAGUGGUAUUUGGAUGGAUGAAAGAUUUUUUAAUGGAGAAUGAAAACACUAGCAUGUUGGAUAAAAGAUUUCAUUCUGCCUUUACUACAAAAUUCAACAAAUUCCAUUUUUCUUAGACUUUUAAAGUCGUUGCUUUUAAUUUGAAAAUGUUGGUGUACAUAAUUUUUUAAAACUGAGACAUUUUCUUCAGUUUAAAAGGACAAAGUAUGAUAAGGCCUGUUUUUAGCCCCCCUAUUUUCUCAUUUUUCAAAUUCUGUUUUGGAAAGCUAUUUAUUAUGUUAAAACAUUCCCUGAUGUUUGAAGUUUGUUGGGAUGAACUUCAAAACCACUAAUUUUUGCAACUGGGUGAGGUGAGGGGGUUUAACUUUCUGUUAUUAUUCAAAUAUUGUAAUUAUUAUUCAUUUUGCAGGUGAUUUUACAACAAAUUGUAAUUUUUUUAGUGCCUACGCCAAUGUGACCCAGGAUUUUUUUUAUUCCAAUGUCAUGAGAACUGUUUUUUCUGUCUAAAUUGCCAUAGUUUUUUCCGGGUCACGUAGGUGCACGCUAUUGAAUUUUAAGAAACAAUGGCCAAAAAUCGUUAUUUUUCCUUCUUUUGGCGUUUUUGAUGCCCUUUUACCCCCUAACCCCACCUAUUUUCUGAAGAUUAAACUUAAACCUAAGGAAAUAUUUACACGUGAUAAGUAGCUUUCAAAAGCAAAAUUUAGAAAAUGAGAAAAUAGGGGGGCCAAAAACAGGCCUUAUCCAACCUUGUCCUUUGAUUAUCCAACCUUCUAUAAUUAGUUAAAGUGAUUUUUGACAUUUUGAAACUUUGUUUAUGUUUUAUAAAUUGAGAACAUGUGAGUGUAAUUGUGAACUGAAAGAAAAUUUCAGGAUUUGAUUGUACUGCCUGUAUUAAGAAGUUAAAACAAAUUGUUAUUGAUUAUUAGUAAAAGAGGAAAAAAUAAAAUAUGCAAUCAAA
rnacentral:lncRNA from 1 species